UGCAGUCGAACGGAUCCUUCGGGAUUAGUGGCAGACGGGUGAGUAACGCGUGGGAAGCUACCUUGUGGUAGGGGACAACAGUUGGAAACGACUGCUAAUACCCUAUGAGCCCUAUGGGGGAAAGAUUUAUCGCCAUGAGAUGUGCCCGCGUUAGAUUAGCUAGUUGGUAAGGUAAUGGCUUACCAAGGCGACGAUCUAUAGCUGGUCUGAGAGGAUGAUCAGCCACACUGGGACUGAGACACGGCCCAGACUCCUACGGGAGGCAGCAGUGGGGAAUAUUGGACAAUGGGGGCAACCCUGAUCCAGCCAUGCCGCGUGUGUGAUGACGGCCUUAGGGUUGUAAAGCACUUUCAGCAGUGAAGAUAAUGACAUUAACUGCAGAAGAAGCCCCGGCUAACUUCGUGCCAGCAGCCGCGGUAAUACGAAGGGGGCUAGCGUUGUUCGGAAUCACUGGGCGUAAAGAGUACGUAGGCGGACUGAUAAGUUAGGGGUGAAAUCCCAAGGCUCAACCUUGGAACUGCCUUUGAUACUGUCAGUCUUGAGAUCGAGAGAGGUGAGUGGAACUCCGAGUGUAGAGGUGAAAUUCGUAGAUAUUCGGAAGAACACCAGUGGCGAAGGCGGCUCACUGGCUCGAUACUGACGCUGAGGUACGAAAGCGUGGGGAGCAAACAGGAUUA
rnacentral:rRNA from 1 species